CCUACGGGCGGCAGCAGUGAGGAAUAUUGGUCAAUGGGCUUACGCCUGACCCAGCCAAGUCGCGUGAGGGAAGACUGCCCUAUGGGUUGUAAACCUCUUUUGUCAGGGAGCAACGCAGGCUAUGUGUCGUCGAUCUGCGAGUACUUGAUGAGAAAGCAUCGGCUAACUCAGUGCCAGCAGCCGCGGUAAUACGGAGGAUGCGAGCGUUAUCCGGAUUUCAUGGGGUUAGAGGGUGCGUAGGCGGAAUGCCAAGUCAGCGGUAAAAUCGUGGGGCUCAAACUCGCUCCGCCGUUGAAACUGGCGUUCUUGAGUGGGCGAGAAGUAUGCGGAAUGCGUGGUGUAGCGGUGAAAUGCAUAGAUAUCACGCAGAACUCCGGUGGCGAAGGCAGCUGACCGGCGCCCAACUGACGGUGAGGCGCGAAAGCGUGGGGAGCGAACAGGAUUAGAUACCCGAGUAGUC
rnacentral:rRNA from 1 species